rnacentral:lncRNA from 1 species
UCAACACUGCAUAAAUCACCAAUGGUGGACGCACAUGAUACUGAAAUUUGACACCAGAUCUCUUCAAGGGCGUGUCACGAUGCCUUGUUUCAAAUCAUGCAGAUUUUUAUAUUAUCCUGUCAACAGUUAAACAGUCAUGAAGGAAAACACCACAAAUCAUGCUAGUUUCUAUUUGCAUUGAAAAAUGGCAUAACAUCAAAUAAUGCACACUUACUUUAUCCCAGACUGUAUAGAUAAUGCAAGAAUUUACUGUUUGAUUAUAAACAUGUAACGUUUUGAUCAACAGUUCCUCAUUUACACAUGAUUUAAUUUUUUUUAAAGUCUGACUUAUGUUUCUGAAAUAUACUUAGUGUGCCAUGCCUCUAUCAUCUAAGCAGUUAGUCCCUUGCAGUAGAGAUACCAGUCGUCAAAGUUUGAAAUAGAAGAUUUACCUAUGAUAUUCUAUCAGGCAGUGCUGUGAGUUAUAUAUGUUAAUUUAUUGAUCCAUUUCUUACAAAAUUUUGACACCAUUUUGUAAAUUACAGAGAUUUGUCUCUACAAACAACACAGUAUACUGAGUAGCCUAGAGGAUGUGUAUGAUAUAUAAUUAGGAUUACAUGACAUAUGCAUUUUCUUGUUCAGGUAAUAUGUACAUUUCCCUUUCAUCUAACUGUAGCUUUAUGUCCUGAGAUUCAUUCAAUAGAGCCCAAAGACAACUGAUGCAUUAUGUCUGUGUUUAAGCAAUUAGCGAUUUUUAUAGAAAAUUUGUUUAAAAUAAAAUUAUUAUUAUGAUGACAUAAAUUCAAAUUUAACCUCCGAUUUAACUCUUGUUGAUAUGUUUUAUGUAUAUAUUUAUAUGUUUAUGUUUAACAGAUUAUACUUGUGUAUGAUGACUGCUAAAACUUCAUGCAUGUGUAUUGUAAUAUUAAAGUACACAUGCACCAGAAUUAAAAAAUAUCAACAUAACAACAUUGUACAAUGCAGUGAAGAGAAAAACUAGAUUGACAGUACUGAUUUGUUUGUGUGAGAAUUUGAGAAAGCAGUUUACAGCAAGGAAACAUAAAUGAGCUUUCACUGCAGACAUUUGCAAGAGAUAUCCACCAUUCAUGCAUACAGUCAUUUUAUGCUCCAUGCACCAUAAUCCCUUACUCAUACCCAAAAAGGAUUUCUGUGAUUUUCACUCUUGUGCUGAAAUUGUUUUUUUGAACAGUGUAUUAUGUGUACAUAAUUCAUCUGUGGCUGUUUAUUUUUCAAUUUCAGGAAGCUUGUUUCUCACCACUCUCAGUUAUAUACCUGCUACAUUUGUAUGUUGUUAAGAAUCCCAAUAUCUAUGGGAAAUUUACAUUCUACAUACAAGACCUUCACAUGUUAUGACAAUAAGCUUCAGGUUUUGAAGUAUGAUAUUCAAACACCUAGUACGAGACUUAAAUAAUGAAUUGCAAAAUGUCAACAAAGCACAAUCUGAAAUGGAACGAUUACGUGAUCCCACUGCUUCACUUCAAACAGCCAUCAGGUGAUUCAUGAUUACAAUAAAUUCAAUCAUGGUCAUCCCUGAUGUUUUCUGGAAUUGUGGAACAAAUAUUACAAGCCAUUAUGCUAGAUAUAUCAUGGUAUAAGGUAAUAGAUAUACUGUCCAUGCACCAAUAUGAACACAAUGUACAACUCACAUUGCUUAGAGUAGGGCUGCGUUCAUAAGGUCUAUACCAGUUAUAGCUAUCUCGUUCUGGAUAUUAUACUCUAAGACAAAACGGGACAGUUUUUGGUACAUAUCAACCCAAUAAAGUAUCAAUGAAUUGUAAGUACGAGUUUGUCAGAAGUUUUGACAGACCCAAAGAAAAACAACUUGUAUCUGACUCAAAAACAUUGCAAAGAUAUUCAACAAGCAGUGGCAACAUGCCAGAAAUUCAGUCUGGAAACAUCUAGCAAACCUUGGUAAAGAUGUUUUGUGGUUUACCAAUAUUUCACUGACUAUGUACAUCUUUUGUAAUGUAUCUAACUAAUGUUGUAUUGUAAGUAUAUUUUACAUGAAAUAGAAUAUAGUUUUAACAAUGGAAUCAUUCAUAUGCAUGCAUAUUGCUGAGCGCAAUAUUAAACAAGCCAACCAACCAAUCAAUCCUUUGAUAAAAUCACACAAUCAACAAAAUACUACCUACGGGUGUGUGUGUGUGUGAAUUUUUUAUAUAUUUUAUAGGGAGUUACAGACAAACUAUUUGCAUACUUGUUAUUAUUUUUACAUCAAGUUAUGUAACAGUCUAUUUGCUUUAGAAUACAACCUUUUUGCAUAAAUGAAAUAUAUCACUUCCACAGUUAAGUUAGAAAGUAUCUGUGAAUUGUCUUCCACAUACACCAUUAUUUUACUUCAAUUAGUGACAUCAAGCUGUAAGCACAUUCCUCAUUGGACUUCUUGUUGCCUAUUUUAAACAUAGAAUCUAUUUGUUUUCUAUUUCGACUUCAUCAGUGACAUGUGAUACAUCAUACUUUGUAUUUGUCUAUUAUUGCACACUUGUGCCGAAUGGUUGCCCAUAGGACACAUCUAUUUUUACAGACCUAUUAUUUUGCUAGGUGAAACCAUUAUGUUUUCUGGCUUUAUCAGUAGCCCAAAUGAAAUGUGAUGGUAAUAUGUAAUGAUACUUAAUAUGUAUGGUUUAUCCCAAAACUUAAUUGUGUACAUCUGUUUAUAUAUUUAGCACAUGUAUAUGUAUUGUUUGAAAAUAACCAGUUCUUAUUAUUUACUGAAUUAAGAUAUAUCCUCUGAUAAUAAUGAACAUUUUUCAUUUGACUGCAAUUUUAUAGGCUAACAAUUUUUUUUAGUCCCAUGGACCACUUUAACUUGGCUAGUGCUCUUUACCAAAGAUGUUGAAAACAAUUUGCUGUUCCUUCACCAAUCUUGGUACACUGAUAGGUAAAGUGGUGAAUUGUUUCAAGUGAACAGUUUUGGACUUUUGCAACAUUUACAUUUUGUGUGUGCAUGGCAAAUGUUUCAUAUGUGUAUUGACAUCAAAUGUCUUGUCUUGUUUCUCUUGUUGAUUGUCUGUCCUGACAUUUUAAUAUUUUAAGAACAUAAUCGGGUGUGCUACCUUGCCA